rnacentral:rRNA from 1 species
GUAAGGAAUAUUGGUCAAUGGACGAAAGUCUGAACCAGCCAUGCCGCGUGGAGGAUGAAGGUCCUCUGGAUUGUAAACUUCUUUUAUAUGGGACGAAAAUGGGGCUUUCUAGCUCAACUGACGGUACCAUAUGAAUAAGCACCGGCUAACUCCGUGCCAGCAGCCGCGGUAAUACGGAGGGUGCAAGCGUUAUCCGGAUUCACUGGGUUUAAAGGGUGCGUAGGUGGAUUGGUAAGUCAGAGGUGAAAUCUCCGGGCUCAACUCGGAAACUGCCUUUGAAACUAUCAAUCUUGAAUAGUGUGGAGGUUAGCGGAAUAUGUCAUGUAGCGGUGAAAUGCUUAGAUAUGACAUAGAACACCAAUUGCGAAGGCAGCUGGCUACACAUAUAUUGACACUGAGGCACGAAAGCGUGGGGAUCAAACAGGAUUAGAAACCCGUGUAGUCC